rnacentral:rRNA from 1 species
GGGGGAACCCUGAUCCAGCCAUGCCGCGUGUGUGAAGAAGGCCUUUUGGUUGUAAAGCGCUUUAAGCAGUGAAGAAGACUCUGUGGUUAAUACCCACAGACGAUGACAUUAGCUGCAGAAUAAGCACCGGCUAACUCUGUGCCAGCAGCCGCGGUAAUACAGAGGGUGCAAGCGUUAAUCGGAAUUACUGGGCGUAAAGCGAGCGUAGGUGGCUUGAUAAGUCAGAUGUGAAAUCCCCGGGCUUAACCUGGGAACUGCAUCUGAAACUGUUAGGCUAGAGUAGGUGAGAGGGAAGUAGAAUUCCAGGUGUAGCGGUGAAAUGCGUAGAGAUCUGGAGGAAUACCGAUGGCGAAGGCAGCUUCCUGGCAUCAUACUGACACUGAGGCUCGAAAGCGUGGGUAGCAAACAGGAUUAGAUACCCUGGUAGUCCACGCCGUAAACGAUGUCUACUAGUCGUUGGGUCCCUUGAGGACUUAGUGACGCAGCUAACGCAAUAAGUAGACCGCCUGGGGAGU